CCCUUAGAUGUUCUGGGCGGCCCGCGCACUACAUUGGCACUCUCAAUAAGUUCCUAGAUCUAAAACUUUGGGGUAUUCUAUUAAGUGGUGUCGUUACUGGGAUUAACCCUUGCAAUUAUUGGUUACGAACGAGGAAUUCCUUGUAAUCGCGGUUUAUCAGCCCGCGUUGAAUGCGUCCCUGCCCUUUGUACACACCGCCCGUCGCUCCUACCGAUGAAUCGUCCGGUGAAGUUCAUGGAGUGGUGGUUGUUCCAGCUGCUGUCGAAGUGAAAUGGACCUCACGAUUUAGAGGAAGGAGAAGUCGUAACA
rnacentral:rRNA from 1 species